UACAGAGGGUGCAAGCGUUGUUCGGAAUUAUUGGGCGUAAAGCGCGUGUAGGCGGCUUUGCAAGUCGGGUGUGAAAGCCCUCAGCUCAACUGAGGAAGUGCGCCCGAAACUGCAGGGCUUGAGUGCCGGAGAGGGUGGCGGAAUUCCCCAAGUAGAGGUGAAAUUCGUAGAUAUGGGGAGGAACACCGGUGGCGAAGGCGGCCACCUGGACGGUGACUGACGCUGAGACGCGAAAGCGUGGGGAGCAAACAGG
rnacentral:rRNA from 1 species